rnacentral:rRNA from 1 species
UCUGCCUGGUAGUGGGGGAUAACGUUCGGAAACGGACGCUAAUACCGCAUACGUCCUACGGGAGAAAGCAGGGGACCUUCGGGCCUUGCGCUAUCAGAUGAGCCUAGGUCGGAUUAGCUAGUUGGUGAGGUAAUGGCUCACCAAGGCGACGAUCCGUAACUGGUCUGAGAGGAUGAUCAGUCACACUGGAACUGAGACACGGUCCAGACUCCUACGGGAGGCAGCAGUGGGGAAUAUUGGACAAUGGGCGAAAGCCUGAUCCAGCCAUGCCGCGUGUGUGAAGAAGGUCUUCGGAUUGUAAAGCACUUUAAGUUGGGAGGAAGGGCAGUUACCUAAUACGUGAUUGUUUUGACGUUACCGACAGAAUAAGCACCGGCUAACUCUGUG